GACGUAGGGCGCGAGCGUUGUCCGGAUUUAUUGGGCGUAAAGAGCUCGUAGGCGGCUUGUUACGUCGACUGUGAAAACCCGCGGCUCAACCGUGUGGCUUGCAGUCGAUACGGGCAGGCUAGAGUUCGGUAGGGGAGACUGGAAUUCCUGGUGUAGCGGUGAAAUGCGCAGAUAUCAGGAAGAACACCAAUGGCGAAAGCAGCUCUCUGGGACGGUACUGACGCUGAGACGCGAAAGCGUGGGGAGCGAACAGG
rnacentral:rRNA from 1 species